UGGUGACGAUAGCAAAGAGGAUACACCUGUUCCCAUCCCGAACACAGUAGUUAAGCUCUUUAGCGCCGAUGGUAGUUGGGGGUUUCCCCCUGUGAGAGUAGGACGUUGCCAAGCA
rnacentral:rRNA from 1 species